rnacentral:lncRNA from 1 species
AGGAAAUGAUGAUGGAGAUGAUGAUGAUGAAGAUAAAGAUUAGAUUAUCCUUUUAUUUUAUUUUUUUAUUUGGUUGUGUUGAAACAAUUUUUAUUUUGUUUGGUUAUUUUGUUUGGUUGUUUUUGGCCAAAUAGUUUUUAGGAUUGAUUUUUAGUUUGUUUUCCGUUUUAUUACUGGUGUGUUGUUCUUUAUAGAAUUUGAAUGAGGGUUUGCUUUCAAGGGUCUAGACAGUGAUAAAAUAAUGGAAGAAUCAAGUCUAGGCGAGAGAGAAUGAAGUUUCGAGUCUGAAUAUCGAGUUCGGUUAUGAAGAGGGUUAAAGAGUUACUAAACACUCAAGAAAAAUAAGCAUGAAUGUCAUUUCGAAGUUACUCCAACAAACCAAAAUCGGAUGAAUAGCAGAAUUCAUUUUUUCCACACAGCGACGUACUGGCCGAGUGCGUAUAAUGACUCGACGAGUCAAAAUGCAAUUUCACGAUUUCUUUGAGUAUCGCACAUCGACUCAUAGAGUCUCCUUAUAGACUCGAUGAGUUAACCUUUAGUUCAUCUUUGAAUCUUAUGGUUUGAUAAUAUUUUACACAAAAAUUGGCUGUAUUUUUGGAAGAUCAUUUUCUGAAGAUAUCCGAGUGUUUUUCCUGCAUUAUUUAGAGCUGUCAACCACAGGUCAUUUACCGCCCAAGGCACGGACGAGCUAUUCCCAUUUGUAAAGUCAGCUAAAGAUAGAGUUUUCAAUGAAGAAGAUCAACCUCGCCACUACUAUCCCAGGGGAGUUUGUUCCAAUUCCUGUUUAUUUCUUGUUUUUGUCAUGCAUAACAUGCAAUGUGGAUAUUUCAUAAAUAAAUUGUAGAGUAGGGGGUUGGUUACAUUAGACAAAUUAGAAUCCUAGGGCUAAAUUACAACUAAAGUGGAGCUAAUAGUGGUUUGACCGAAAUACCCACACCUCAUUUUAGUGUCACACUUAGAUACUGGCACGAACCAUUAAAGAUUAUGGAGGCGGGAAUCUUUCCAUACCGAAUGAGGAUAUGGUUAUAGAACCCAAGGAGCCAGGUAAGAGCGUGAAGAGAAGACAAGAUGAAGCCCAUGAUGACCCACCAUUGAUUCUAGUCGAUGAUGAAGUACCAAUGGAUUGGUAUAAUGUGGAGAUGAGACAAUUUCAAUAUGAUUUGGCAAGGGGUGUGAAUUUUGGCAACCCAUAUUGUAUUGAAAUGUUUAAUCACUUCAACGUUCAACAUGUGGAUUGGGGUAAUUAUCUGCAUGUGUGCAUAUGGGAGGAAAAGAUCAAUACAAGAGGAAGUGGAGCAAGAGGAAAUGAUGAUGGAGAUGAUGAUGAUGAAGAUAAAGAUUAGAUUAUCCUUUUAUUUUAUUUUUUUUAUUUGGUUGUGUUGAAACAAUUUUUAUUUUGUUUGGUUGUUUUUGGACAAAUAGUUUUUAGGAUUGAUUUUUAGUUUGUUUUCCGUUUUAUUACUGGUGUGUUGUUCUUUAUAGAAUUUGAAUGAGGGUUUGCUUUCAAGGGUCUAGACAGUGAUAAAAUAAUGGAAGAAUCAAGUCUAGGCGAGAGAGAAUGAAGUUUCGAGUCCGAAUAUCGAGUUCGGUUAUGAAGAGGGUUAAAGAGUGACUAAACACUCAAGAAAAAUAAGCAUGAAUGUCAUUUCGAAGUUACUCCAGCAAACCAAAAUCGGAUGAAUAGCAGAAUUCAUUUUUUCCACACAGCGACGUACUCGCCGAGUGCGUAUAAUGACUCGACGAGUCAAAAUGCAAUUUCAAGAUUUCUUCGAGUAUCGCACAACGACUCAUAGAGUCUCCUUACAGACUCGAUGAGUUAACCUUUAUUUCAUCUCUGAAGCUUAUGGUUUGAUAAUAUUUUACACGAAAAUUGGCUGUAUUUUUGGAAGAUCAUUUUCUGAAGAUAUCCGAGAGUUUUUCCUGCAUUAUUUAGAGCUGUCAACCACAGGUCAUUUAACGCCCAAGGCACGGACGAGCUGUUCCCAUUUGUAAAGUCAGCUAAAGAUAGAGUUUUCAAUGAAGAAGAUCAACCUCGCCACUACUAUCCCAGGGGAGUUUGUUCCAAUUCCUGUUUAUUUCUUGUUUUUGUCAUGCAUAACAUGCAAUGUAGAUAUUUCAUAAAUAAAUUGUAGAGUAGGGGGUUGGUUACAUUAGACAAAUUAGAAUCCUAGGGCUAAAUUACAACUAAAGUGGAGCUAAUAGUGGUUUGACCGAAAUACCCACACCUCAUUUUAGUGUCACACUUAGAUACAGGCACGAAUCAUUGAAGAUUAUAGAGGCGGGAAUCUUUCCAUACUGAAUGUGGAUAUUGUUAUAGAACCCAAGGAGCCAGGUAAGAGCAUGAAGAGAAGACAAGAUGAAGCCCAUGAUUACCCACCAUUGAUUCCAGUCGACGUUGAAGUACCAAUGGAUUGGUACAAUGUGGAGAUGAGACAAUUUCAAUAUGAUUUGGCAAGGGGUGUGAAUUUUGGCAACCCAUAUUGUAUUGAAAUGUUUAAUCACUUCAACGUUCAACAUGUGGAUUGGGGUAAUUAUCUGCAUGUGUGCAUAUGGGAGGAAAAGAUCAAUACAAGAGGAAGUGGAGCAAGAGGAAAUGAUGAUGGAGAUGAUGAUGAUGAAGAUAAAGAUUAGAUUAUCCUUUUAUUUUAUUUUUUUUAUUUGGUUGUGUUGAAACAAUUUUUAUUUUGUUUGGUUGUUUUUGGACAAAUAGUUUUUAGGAUUGAUUUUUAGUUUGUUUUCCGUUUUAUUACUGGUGUGUUGUUCUUUAUAGAAUUUGAAUGAGGGUUUGCUUUCAAGGGUCUAGACAGUGAUAAAAUAAUGGAAGAAUCAAGUCUGGGCGAGAGAGAAUGAAGUUUCGAGUCCGAAUAUCGAGUUCGGUUAUGAAGUGGGUUAAAGAGUGACUAAACACUAAAGAAAAAUAAGCAUGAAUUUCAUUUCGAAGUUACUCCAGCAAACCAAAAUCGGAUGAAUAGCAGAAUUCAUUUUUUCCACACAGCGACGUACUCGCCGAGUGCGUAUAAUGACUCGACGAGUCAAAAUGCAAUUUCAAGAUUUCUUCGAGUAUCGCACAACGACUCAUAGAGUCUCCUUACAGACUCGAUGAGUUAACCUUUAUUUCAUCUCUGAAGCUUAUGGUUUGAUAAUAUUUUACACGAAAAUUGGCUGUAUUUUUGGAAGAUCAUUUUCUGAAGAUAUCCGAGAGUUUUUCCUGCAUUAUUUAGAGCUGUCAACCACAGGUCAUUUAACGCCCAAGGCACAGACGAGCUGUUCCCAUUUGUAAAGUCAGCUAAAGAUAGAUUUUCAAUGAAGAAGAUCAACCUCGCCACUACUAUCCCAGGGGAG